rnacentral:misc_RNA from 1 species
AAUGGUUGCGGAUUUUCAUUUACAGCGCCGUUGAUGAUGUUUUUUGUAGUGAAACAUAAGCUCAAAUGAGGCGAUUAAGCGUUAAAGAUGAACAGGCCGGCCUACGAUUACACCGUGCCUGCAUCCACCACAUAUCACGCGAGCACUAACAGGCCACCGCAGUACGAGCGUGGUUACGGACAACUCACAGCCGGCCCAUUAUACAGUCCGUCUUCCCAUCCUCUAUCCAAUUAUGCAGAUGUGUAUGAGGGUAAUAACGACACCACACUUAGAGCUGAAGAGAGACACUGGUAUAUAGAAAAUCACAAGAACUUACAACCCACCUAUGAAGUUAAUCAUGACACUGUACCUCAAGAUGCCAAAAUUAAAAAAGAAGAAGAGAAGAAAACAGAGGUUCCUGUCAGACGCGCGGAUGUCGCGCAAACGAGGCAGCGGAGGAAAGAGGACCGCUGCUCUUGUGAAUGUUGGCCUACUACAGACAAUAAUGUUGCACAAGAUGCCGUUGGUAAUGAGACCACGAGGUCUCUGUCGAGAGUGGAUAUGGUUGCGUCGUACGGUGUGUACAGUAAUAACCACGAAGACGAAAACUCGGGCUUCGCACGACUCUCGGAGAAAAGUGCGAUAUAUGGACAAGGGAGCGAGGCUCCUGUACAAGGUGUAAUAGUGAAUCAGCAAGGGAACAGUGCUGUAGUGCGAGCUGAGUCUCCCACGGAACCUUCCUGUGGCAAGUGUUGUGCCUGGUCCUCGAGCCCUCCGGCCGCCAACUCAGAAGACUACUGUUGGCUGCAUUACUGUCGGCCUGCACUGAUUGUUCUUUUACUUUUAUUUUUUCUAGUUUUGCUGGGUGUGUCAACAGGGUUUUUACUGACGAAUAAUUAUCUUCAUUACCAACCUCGACCGCCUGCCCCAGAAGAGGCGUGUGAAAAAACGUUUUGUCGAUGGGGUGCGGAGUGUGUGUCCCUGGGGGACGGACGUGCCCAUUGCGCCUGUCCUGCGAGCUGCCCGCCGACCGCCGCGCCCGUGUGUUCGACUGCUGGCCGGACCUACCGCAACCAUUGCUACCUACGUAAGGAGGCGUGCGAACGAAGGCUGAAUCUGCGCGUCAAGCAUGAUGGCGAAUGCGAAGCCGGGGAUCCAUGCGCCGGAGUGUCCUGCCCAGUCGGAGCUCGCUGCGUGGCGAGCUAUGGCCAGCCUGAAUGCAGGUGUCCACGGAGUUGUCAACGACGGAAGCCUGUCUGCGGAACCGACGGGAAGGAGUAUCCAUCAGCGUGCCAUCUGGACAAACAUGCCUGUGAUAAUACUCUCAAUAUAAGCAUCAAAUAUCACGGAAAAUGUGAUCCUUGCUCGGAACACGAGUGUGCGGACGGGGGUGUGUGCCAGCUAAACGAAGCGCGCGCGCCGGUAUGUCGCUGCGGUCCAUCUUGCGAGCUGGUGGCGCGUCCAGGAUCCGCUGUCUGCGGCUCGGACUACAGAGACUAUCCUGGCGAAUGUGCACUGCGACAGGAGUCGUGCCGAACCCGACAACAGCUCACUAUUGCUUAUAGAGGAGAAUGCGCUUCAGCCCAACAUCCAUGCGAAUCCGUGAAGUGUGGACUUCGGGAGCAGUGCUCGCUGGACGCGCGUGGCGUGGCUGUGUGCGGCUGUGGCGCGGAGUGCGAGGCCGUUGUGCGGCUUGUGUGCGCCACAGACGGACGCACCUACGACAGCCCGUGCCACCUCGACCGAAUCGCGUGUCUAGAGGGACGCGAUAUAAGAGUCGCGUAUGCCGGUCCUUGUGGUCUGGAAAACCCGUGUGCACGCGUUAAAUGCCCGUGGGGAGGAGCGUGUAUAGCCCGUAAUGGCGCCGCGCAAUGUGCGUGUCCUGUGUGUGACGCUGCGCUUGCGCCGGUCUGCGCCUCCGACCACAACACUUACGGCACUGAGUGCAAAAUGCGCAUGCACGCUUGCCAGGAGGGAAUAAACGAAGGAGAGCUACGUGCUCUAUACAAUGGAACUUGUCAGACAUGCGCCGACAUCGUUUGCCAAGGCGGCGGGGACUGCAUCGUCGACGGGGACACGGGCCGCCCUGUAUGUCAUUGCAACCACAACUGCACUGAAGCGCAGGAGUCGGCCGCGGUAUGCGGGACAGAUGGUCAGACCUAUCCCUCACAAUGUGAACUGGACUCGACAGCGUGUCGCGAGCAAAGUGAUUUGCGGCUCGCCUACAAAGGAGACUGCGCUUUGUGCGAAGACGUUCAAUGCUCGUUCGGGGCGAUCUGCGCGGCUGGUGAAUGCAUCUGUCCCACCGAUUGUACUGGGGCCGCUCGUGAGCCCGUCUGUAGCAGCACCAUGCAGACAUACCCUAAUGAAUGUGAACUGCAGAAGGCCGCCUGCCGACUCCCUCCACCUGGCACACUCCACGUCAUCUUCUACGGAGAUUGCAAAGACAGACUCGCCGUUGUACCACCGAUCGCUAUGACGACGACCGCGAUGACCACGACCGAGGCGGAGGAAGGGCCGACGGAUUCUUCAGGCGCCACUGACCUUGGCACUGUCAGCCCUACUGCCUGUCGAGACAUUCGGUGUGACUUCGGAGCCAGCUGCGAGAUAGGUCCAGAUGGUUACCCUCGCUGUUCCUGCCCCUUCGAAUGUCCACAUGACGAUGAGUACUUCCCCGUCUGCGCUUCUGAUUUUCGACUUUAUCCCAGCAUGUGUGCUAUGCGGAAGGAAGGUUGUCAAGAACAACUCGAAUUGAGACUUCGACCAUUGGAUCUAUGUAAAGGUAUGGAAGUAAGGCCUUGCGGUAACAACAAGGCAAUGGUUGAUCCAACAACUGGUCUUGAAAUUGACUGCGGUAAUGGGCCACACCGGCAAGAUUGCCCCGUCGGUAGCUAUUGCCAUAUUACAUUGACUGCCGCAAGAUGUUGCCCCAAAAAUGAUACGCGGCAACAGGACGAGAAGAAAGACAUUCAUUGCGGCGAGAGCGCGUUCGGAUGUUGUGCGGACGGCAGCACUGCGGCUACGGGGCCUAAUGAGGAGGGAUGUCCGAUAACGAGUUCGACUUGCGGCUGCAAUCGCCUCGGCUCGGUGUCGGAUCGAUGCGACGAGGGUGGUCAGUGUGUUUGUCGGCCGGGCGUGGGCGGUCUGAAGUGCGACCGCUGCGAGCCCGGCUACUGGGGGCUGCCGAGGAUCGGCUCCGGUCAUACUGGUUGCAUACCAUGCGGUUGUUCCGCGUUCGGUUCAGUGCGUGAAGAUUGCGAACAAAUGACAGGACGAUGUGUAUGUCGUACUGGAGUUCAAGGGCAGAAGUGUACUGUGUGCGCUGACCACCGCCGUAGAUUAGGACCUAAUGGAUGCUCUGAUCCGGAGAGCGGCGGCGUGGUUUCUUCGUGUGCCGAAUUAUCAUGCUACUUUGGAGCCGUAUGCACGGAACGGACCGGCGGCGCUCUCUGCGAGUGUGCAGCUGCUCCGUGUCCUGACAGCGAUACCAACAUGCUGGUAUGUGGUAGCGAUGGGAAGACUUAUGAAUCGGAGUGUCACCUUAAGUUGCAAGCAUGUCGCACGCAAGAGGAUAUCGUGGUUCAGGCGUUCGGACCUUGCAAGUUGGGAGAAGUGGCUGGCACCGCUGGUCCACCGCGUCCCUCCUCCCCUAUACAAUUCACACAACAAGACGACGGCGCCGCCUCCAAGUCUACCAGGCAUUUGCUCAAUCCCAACUACAACAAAUACGAUUGGACGAGGAAGGAAACACCAAGCGAUUUUGAAGGCGUUCUUUCGGGCCAGAAAUUUAAAGGUUCGCAAACAGCAACAACCGCAACGCUGGGCGCGGUGGGCGCAUUACUGGGGGACCUGUGCACUGAGGAUGCUGACUGCGUGGCACUGCCUGGAGCCUAUUGUCCGCACGGAGGCUGUGUUUGCAGACCUGGAUACACGCCCACUGUUCACAGGAAAGCAUGUGUUGAACAAAUACCGCAAGAGACAACUGAGGAAUACAGCGCUUGUUUAUCAGAGCCAUGCUACAACCUGGGCACAUGUAUCGACUUGCCAGGCUCCACUUACACUUGUCAGUGUGCGGGAUCCUUCACGGGAGCCAAUUGUGAAUCUCUCGCAAAAGAUGGUCUUCUCAACAACUACAUCGAAACACCAUCUUUUGACGGUUCAUCCUACAUACGACUAAAACCCUUAAAGGCUUACCACAAGUUGAAUAUCGAUAUCGAAUUUAAAGCUUUUUCCGAGAAUGGCGUCAUAUUGUACAAUCAGCAAAAACCGGAUGGCACGGGCGAUUUUGUUUCGCUCGCUUUGGUCAACGGAUAUUUAGAGUUUAGGUAUAAUCUAGGGAAUGGUGUAUUAAUUUUGACAUCUUUGGAGAAAAUAUCAUUGAAUGAAUAUCACAAGGUAUCUGCAAAACGAUAUCAUCGAGACGGAAUCUUGGCCGUUGAUGACAUGGAAGAUGUCGUUGGACAAUCAAGCGGUCACCUCAAAGCAUUAGAUCUCGCUGAAGAUGCUUUUAUCGGAACUGUACCCACAAAUUAUUCCAGGGUAUUCGAUAAUAUCGGCACUCGAAGCGGGUUUAUCGGUUGCGUAAAAUCCUUGAGGAUAAUUCGUCAUCAAGUGACAAAGAAGUUGGGCCGUCCAGACUCAUUAGUCGUCGCUAUAGAAAACGUUCGAGAGUGCCAAUCUAACCCGUGUAUGAGUAUUCCGUGCAAGAAUGGUGGCACGUGUAAAUCCAUAGAGGGGUCGGCGACCGAAUAUACUUGUAGCUGCCCUAUCGGAUUUCAAGGAGCCAAUUGUGACGAGAGAUUAGAUCCGUGCGAGUCGAAUCCCUGCGGAUAUGAUGAGGGGCUAUUGUGUGACAUAGGACCCGAAGGCGGCCACGUCUGCCGCUGUUUAUUUGGAGGUGAAAUUGGUUCUAACGGAAAUACUUGCAGUAAUGACGUUAAUGUGAUACAAGAGACUUGGACGCCCCAAUUCAAUGGUACGAGCUAUAUCGAAUUACCGCCACUCGAAGGGCUGGGGAAAGCGUUCCGAAUAGAAAUUUGGUUUUUAACGAACCGAUUUUCCGGAAUGCUUCUUUACACCGGCCAGUCUAAUAAAGCCAAAGGGGAUUUCAUUGCGAUUAACUUAGUUAAUGGUUACCUACAAUUUAGGUACAAUUUGGGAAGCGGUAUCGCUAAUAUAACGUCUCCGGUGCCUAUAACAAAAGGUCGUUGGCAUCGGGCGAGAGUGUCCCGAUCUGGUCGUCACGGAAGCUUACAGCUCGACCACCACCCGACACAGAGGGGACACUCUGCGCCUCCUCUCACUCACUUAGAACUCACGCUGCCUUUGUUCAUUGGAUCUUUGCCCGCCUACAUCCGCCCACACAAAAUGUCAGGAGUGACCAGCAGUUUUAUUGGAGCAGUGCAACAGGUUUUUGUGAACGGGAAUCCACUUACUUUGUACGGUGGCGACAUAGCGAAGUGUACUAUAGUACAAGAAGAGGAGCGUUUACCUUGUGCCACGACAGGGGUCUCGAAGUACACUGGCCCGCCGUGUGGAGACGGAUUAACACCGUGUAAAAACAACGGGUCAUGUGUACCUCUACUAAAUGAAUACAAAUGUAUAUGCCGCGAUGGGUACAAAGGAAGAAAUUGUGAAAUUCAACAUCCCACUGUGGAAAUGUUAAACGAGAGAACGCCAGUUAAUUUUGACGGAAAUAAUUAUUUCUCGUACAGAAGCAGAGGAAGCCGUAGCUUACAAACUAACAAAGGACAUUAUGGUGUAAGAUAACGUUUGAUGGAUUCGUCAAACAAUAUUUAGACAUAAUAUACGCCACUGCAGAAAACUUAGUUUAGGAAUAGCGGAGCUCGCGGUAUUAGAUAUGAAAUUAAAUUUCGGACGUACAAUGAAUCAGGUCUUUUAUUAUGGAGACGGAAGAUCGGAAUAAGACCACGUGAUUUUAUUGGACUUGGUUUGGGCGACGGGAAACUUCAGUUGAUUUACACUGAUACUGAUGUGAAAGAAAUAAACUCUGCUACCCACGAGGAUUGGUUCCAAUGUGUGGAGUCCAAGGUACGGG